GAAUAUUGGUCAAUGGGCGCAAGCCUGAACCAGCCAUGCCGCGUGCAGGAUGAAGCAUCUAUGGUGUGUAAACUGCUUUUAUACGGGAAGAAACCCUGGAACGUGUUCCAGAUUGACGGUACCGUAAGAAUAAGGACCGGCUAACUCCGUUCCAGCAGCCGCGGUAAUACGGAGGGUCCAAGCGUUAUCCGGAAUCAUUGGGUUUAAAGGGUCCGUAGGCGGGCUUGUAAGUCAGUGGUGAAAUCUCCCGGCUCAACCGGGAAAUGGCCAUUGAUACUGCUAGUCUUGAAUUAUUAGGAAGUAACUAGAAUAUGUAGUGUAGCGGUGAAAUGCUUAGAGAUUACAUGGAAUACCAAUUGCGAAGGCAGGUUACUACUAAUAUAUUGACGCUGAUGGACGAAAGCGUGGGUAGCGAACA
rnacentral:rRNA from 1 species